rnacentral:rRNA from 1 species
AUGGUGGUGAUCAGAUACACACGGCAAGUGGAACUGGACUUGGCAACGAGGAGGGUCAUACUUAGAGGAAAGUGUGAGGGAGGCCUAUAUCCACUCAUAUCAUCUUCAUCUUCAUCAUGGUUGAAUAAACAAGCGUGGAGUGUCACCAAACCUUCUUUGGCAAAGUGGCAUAGUCGUCUUGGUCAUCCCUUUUCAGUCAUAGUUAAGCAUGUCCUUAGCAAGAAUAAUCUUCCCUAUGAGUCUAGUGUUGAGUCAAUUUGUGAUGCUUGCCAGCAAGCUAAGAGUCAUCAGCUACCCUAUCCCAUAUCUACAAGUGUAUCAACUGCUCCAUUGCAGUUAAUUUUUUCAGAUGUAUGGGGACCAGCUCCCACAUCAGUUGGCAGAUUUUCCUAUUAUGUUAGUUUC